rnacentral:tRNA from 1 species
GCCACCUUAGCUCAGCUGGUAGAGCAAUGCUUUCGUAAAGCAGAGGUCCCCGGUUCGAAUCCGGGAGGUGGCU